rnacentral:lncRNA from 1 species
AAUUAUUAUCCCUUCUCUAGGAAUUGAUACAAGCCAACAGCCAAUAGUCUUCCUUGCUAAUAAGAAGAUCUGUGUUUGAAUGAAGCCAUACAUAAGGGCUUUUCAUGGCAAGAUGCUUUGAAACACUAAAGGGAGAAACUAUUCCUUUGCCUGAAUGAUUUUCAGAAAAAAGAAAAUGUCUCUGGCCUUAGCAUGAGAAAUCUUUCUGGAGCUAUCGACAUUCUGCCUUAGGUAGGGAGAACUUCCUUUAUUCUUGCCUUUGGACUCAGGGGGCUUCAAAUGGAAUCUUC